rnacentral:rRNA from 1 species
GACGUAGGGCGCGAGCGUUGUCCGGAUUAUUGGGCGUAAAGAGCUCGUAGGCGGCUUGUCGCGUCGACCGUGAAAACUUGGGGCUCAACCCCAAGCCUGCGGUCGAUACGGGCAGGCUCGAGUUCGGUAGGGGAGACUGGAAUUCCUGGUGUAGCGGUGAAAUGCGCAGAUAUCAGGAGGAACACCGGUGGCGAAGGCGGGUCUC